rnacentral:rRNA from 1 species
GACGAACGCUGGCGGCGUGGAUUAGGCAUGCAAGUCGAACGGUAGGAUCCUUUCGGGGAUCUGAGAGUGGCGAACGGGUGAGUAACACGUAGGUGAUCUACCCUCAAGACGGGGACAACCCAGGGAAACUUGGGCUAAUACCGGAUGUGAGCUAUCGCGAGAUAGUUUGAAAGGUGGCUUCGGCUGCCGCUUGAGGAUGAGCCUGCGUCCUAUUAGCUAGUUGGUGAGGUAACGGCUCACCGAGGCAGUGAUAGGUAGGCGGCCUUAACGGGUGGUCGCCCACACUGGGAUUGAGAUACGGCCCAGACUCCUACGGGAGGCAGCAGUCGAGAAUAGUCUACAAUGGUCGAAAGACUGAUAGUGCGACGCCGCGUGAACGAAGAAGCCCUUCGGGGUGUAAAGUUCUUUUAUAUGUGAGCAGUGACACCCAUAUUAAUAGUAUGGGUGUAGAGAUAUUAGCAUAUGAAUAAGCAACGGCUAACUCCGUGCCAGCAGCCG